rnacentral:lncRNA from 1 species
UCCUUCACUCGGUUCUUGACAUUGUUUGCGUUUUCUAAAGUAAGUCUGGCACACGAGGUGCCCUCAUGGGUGUAGAUUUAUCCAUUGGCUACCCAUUGGAACAUCACUUGCAGGACUCUCUAUUUAAAUGCAAAAUUGAUGUACUACUUUUUUCUUAAUUGUAUUUAGUAAGGAUUACUUUAUCCAUACAUUGUUGGCAUACAAAUGAUGCUUAGUCUUGUGGAAGACUUCCUGCAUUAGGAGACACUUUCCCCAGAUCCAAUUCGUCGAUGGAGUUAGAUCAAUUCCGUACAACAGAGUCUUAGGUAAUUUAUGUUCUAACCAUGUUAUUAUUAUUGCAAAACCAAAUAGGGAUGCUUAAUCUGAGCUAUUUCUCACCCCAUUUCCUCUAGGUCUCUGCAAAUUAUUGUUUGUCUUUUGAGGUGAAUGCAACUGCUGGUCAUGCUUUAACCACAUGUCAAUUGCAGGAGUGCGACAACGCCAUCCUAUUCCACAAACCAUCUGAAGAAUGAUGGGUGCUGUAAUCCCAUGCUUGCUAGAGUGCUAGAUGGAUUUAAUAAACUCUUUCGUGCUCAUCUUUUGGCCUGAAACACUAAAAACUAAACUGCCCUAGUAGUGAGCAAUGAUUAAUAAAAUGGAGUUCAUUUGAUCCAUCUGAUAAAAAUAACUAUGGGCGAAUAAGAAUGAAAAGUAAUCACAUGUUGUUUCUGCAGUGGAAUUCAGGUAUACCCUCUCCUCUAUUUAUUUGACUCUUGUUAGAUUGGUUCAUCUUGGUCUGACGUGUUAAUGGAGUUAUUUCAUUCCUCACAUGAUCCCUUUCAAUUGGAUCAGUUAUCCUUAUUUGGUUACUCUAUAUUCCCUACAUAUAUCUUUAUUAUGUUCAUCGAGACUUUAGAGUAAGACAUUUAUUUUGCUCAUAUUACCUUCAAGGUAACAUGGUACCUACAACGCAGGGGGACUCAUGGCAAUCAGUUCUAAUUUAUAAAUCCAAUUAAGUGUAAGCUUCUCUGUUGUCUGUACUGCAGUCGUGAUGAUCAGAAGUUCAGGACCCCACUGUAGGUAGGAAAAAAAGAUUAAUCUUGGUAAGAUACAGUCUUCUGAUCACAAUCUUACUUUUUUUGUUAUUAGUGCUUCCAUUACUUUCUAUUUAAAUAUGCACAAUGGGAUAGGGAGUGGACCCUUUUAGUAAGUUAUAUGUAUAAUUGGAGAUUACUGGAUUUUCUCAUUGUUAUCUGGUUAGUUAUCCCUCACAAAAUCAAGUGAUAAUAUAUGCAGUAUGUAUAAGACUAGGAGUAUUGGAUGGUUGUGAUUCGGGAGUGUGUAUUUUGAUCGAAGUUUGUAGUACGUAUAGGGUGAUAGAUACGUUGGGUAGGAACUUCUGCUCUAAUUUACUAUGGUUGUAGUUAAAUUUAUUUUUGGUUGAAUCGUGUCCUUCACAUAGAUCUUAAUUUACUGGAUAAAUUAUACAAUAAAGUGGUUUGUGAUUUUUUGGUUUUACACUAUCCAUCAUAAUAAAUGAACUUAUUAUUCGCACUUCAGAUAUCAUGUAAAUUUUUAUGAUCUCUGAACUUCUCAUGUACUAUUAGUCCAAAUCAAUUUGAAAAUCCAAUGAACUUCUAUAGGUUCUAUUAUUUUUUCAAACAUGAGCAUUGCUGGUUAAUAAAUUGAUUUACAUUAAUUUCUCAAAAGGGGGCCGCACACAUGUCCUGGUGCUUAAUGCUUUUAGAAAGGGUUUAUGUAAUUUUGGUAGUAUAAAAGUAACCCAAGUUCUUUAGUAUUAUCCAGAGCUGGGAUAUGUAAAUGUAUAAACACAGGGUAGAAGGUCAGUCAACUUGUGUCCCAACCAUCUAAUACUCAUAGCUAACUUCAUUGCCUCCAUUGUUAGGGUAAAAUCUGGAGCCGCAAAUGGAGCAAUUACUAACCAUCAGUUCAUAGAAACACAAUCUGACCUGAAGUUACAACAUAGUCAACGAUGAUAUACUGACAUGCCAUGACUACCUGAUAAGAAGAAAGCAGAAUAUCUAAAGAAGGAAUACAUAUCCCACUAGCAAGAGAAAUUUGUGGCGGCCAGUGAAAAUAUCGAUGGACCUAGCUCAAAACCCCACAACUUUAUUUCUCCAUCUAUAUAUAUAUAUAUAUAUAUAUAUAUAUAUUUCCUUCUAAAGAGUAGUUAUUGCCAAUUGAUUGUCAACGGAAUGUCUAGAUGCAUGAGUGUUCGACAUCUGCGUUUGUUCUGAUCUAUAGAAGCAGUGGAAAUGAUAAUUUAUCAUUCAGUCAGAAAUAACUAAAUUUUCAUGAGAUCUCAUAUCUUCAGUAAUUUGCUCGCAGGAGAGUGAUGACUAUGGCAGCAAGCUCGCUAGGGAUGGAGAGCACUACACAAAGCAGGGAAUGUGAAUGGAAUUGGGCAUUGGUAUAGUGAGUGUCAGUUUCGGUCAGGCUGCCCACCAUGUGUGGUGUUUCAGCUGAAGCACCAUAAAGCUAUUUAAUUAUUCAUGUUUAUUUAUCUUUCAUCUAAUCAAAUUAAAAUUUAUAAUCAAAAUUUUUGUGGGGUUUAUGGAUAGGAAUAUUUCAUUUGACUAUUUUGAGCAUGUAUAUUUCACACACAAUUGCCAUCAUUGUUCUUUGUGAACUAAUUCUGAUUAAUACUUGGCAGGAGCAUAUUAGACUAUUCUUUUACAAUUAAUUCUGAUUACUAUAUUUUCGGUAAUUUGGAGUACUAACUAUUUGGCAGGAAC